rnacentral:rRNA from 1 species
CGGCGGACGGGUGAGUAACGCGUGAGAAACCUGCCUUUUACAAAGGAAUAGCCUCUGGAAACGGGGAUUAAUACCUUAUGAUACUUUUAUUCCACAUGGAAAAUUGGUCAAAGCGUAAAGCGGUAAAAGAUGGUCUCGCGUCCCAUUAGCUAGUUGGUGAGAUAAAAGCUCACCAAGGCGAUGAUGGGUAGCCGGCCUGAGAGGGUGAACGGCCACACUGGAACUGAGACACGGUCCAGACUCCUACGGGAGGCAGCAGUGGGGAAUAUUGCACAAUGGAGGAAACUCUGAUGCAGCGACGUCGCGUGAACGAUGAAGGCUUUCGGGUCGUAAAGUUCUGUCCUUGGGGAAGAUAAUGACGGUACCCAAGGAGGAAGCCCCGGCUAACUACGUGCCAGCAGCCGCGGUAAUACGUAGGGGGCGAGCGUUGUCCGGAUUUAUUGAGCGUAAA